rnacentral:lncRNA from 1 species
CAUUCCCGUUGUUAUGGAGGUAGGCUCUCUAGGAAUCUGGGAGUAGUAGCUGGGGGGCAAGAGCAAAUAAAGAGCUCGAGCUUCUGUGGUCUCUGGGGAGAUGUUCCCGGGAAGCCUGUCUAGAGGGCGGAGGGCAGCUGUUGAGAUGGCGUGGCUCCCCGGCUCCUGCGCCCGCGUGGCUUUCGCGGCGGGCGCUGCGGCCCGGUAUUGGACAGCCUGGCAGGGCAGCGCGGGGCCGAAUCCGGCUGCCGUGGCUGAGGCUCAUGGAUCACUCUUUUGUGGUAGGGCCACAUCUGCCAGAGCCUGGAGUCUGCGAAGGCCGGGACCCGGUUCCCCGGCCCACAGUGGGGGUGUGCAAACCCGAGAGAACUGGGUUGCAAAUUCGUGAAGAAUCAGCAUCAUGUUUGGCAGCUGAGUAUUGGAGCCAGGAGCCUGCCAUGAGGUUUUGAGAACAGAGUGCUGUUUUAGAGCUGGCAGCAGCAUCUCAGCCCAAGAGAAGGUAAGCCUUGAGCUGGCCAAUGAUCCCUUCAACCCCAUAGUGGAAUGAAUAAACAGCUGAUCUUGUUAAAACUCGCUUCAAAAAAAAAAGAUAUCAAAUGAUGAAAUCACCCAAAAUAGCUGGAAUUACCGGCAGAUUGUGUAGUGGUGAACCUAUGGUUUUCUGAAGAUAUCUCUUACCCUGUGAUUGACUGUCAGUUGGUGCAGAAAGUGAGAUUGAAAUGUAGUUUCUUUGCAGGUUAUAUUCCCAGAGGAUGUCAGUCCCAAGGACCAGUAGCUGCCAUCAGUUUGGAUUCUGAAAACUAACUGGCAUCAACACUGGGUGUAGAAACAUGCUUGCCUUAUGUAUCAGAGGACAUGCUCAGCAGAUCCAAGAGAUAUAUUUGGCAACUUUUUCUAGAAAAGGCACAUUGGGUAUCAUUCAUUACAUUCUUGAGUUUUUUUGGGUUUUUUUUUUUUUUUUUGAGACAGUCUUGCUGUAUUGCCCAGGCUGGAGUGUGGUGGCACAAUCACAGCUCAUUGCAUCCUCAAUCACCCAGGCCUAAGCAAUCCUCCCACCUUGUAGCUGGGACUACAGCUCACAGCACACCUGGCUAAAAUUUUUUUUUUGUUGAGACGGAUUCUCUAUGUUGCCCAGGCUGGUCUCAGGCUCCUGGGCUCAGAUGGUCCUCCUGCCUCAGCUUCCAAAGGCACAGGCCAAGUUGUAGCUUUGUCCCUUGCCAUCAUGCCCAACAAGAGGUUCUAUACCUUUUAAUGAAUUGACUUUCAUAAAUUGGUUAUGUUGGUGGGCAAAGUUCUUUAAGCUGGAAAUUGUAAAUUCCUCCUGAAAUGUUUUUUCAUGCAGUUACCAUGAACUAAUACUACAAUAAAGGAUGGUCUUGGGUG